rnacentral:sRNA from 1 species
CCAACUUAAACUUUGGAGAUAAUCCCUAACAGGAUUAAAGUCCUCCACAAGCAGGCAGAGGCAAGCUAUUCAGAAAAACAAGGUCAUGCUGCAAUUUUUUUUUUUUUUUUUGGUAAGCACAGGAAUCAACAAAGAGAUGUUAUAUAACUUCUAUUUAUAUCCUACUUGCUCACUAGCUGCAGGCAUACGAGAGGAGCCGAGAAGGGAAUUUAAUGAGCUCUCGGGGCUUGCUCACCUUCCAGAGCUGGUAGGAACCAGCUUGUUUUUGAAGUGCGUCAGCAAAUGAAACUGGUGGUGGGUGGGUGGUUUGGGUAGGUGGACUGACUUGUUGCUAUGGUUUUCUUUAAUUCCUCCGUCUCUCAA